AAAUAGUGUCAAGGUUCUGGUAA
rnacentral:piRNA from 1 species